CCCUCAGACCUGUAGACUCCUGUAUAAAAGCAAAGAUGAAGUCAAAGUCAAGUAACACUCCAAGGAGAAUGGUACAGCUCAUGUGGGCAGACAGCAGCAUGAACAGCCAUCAGUGGCCGCUGCUUCAAAAUAAGAGACUCCAGCAACCGGACUACCAGGCCACCGAAGUCAGUUAAGCAAAGCCAGACUGCCUGCCUCAGGCGGCUACAAUCAGCAGCGUCUAAGCAACACUAACUCGAGCCCAGGAGUUCACAAUCUAAAGAGAAAAGCGUGACAAGAGUGGCAAGUGAUGGUAGAAACAGGACACUGAGAGCUGUGGAGGGAGAGGGACAACGAGCUGACCAACAAGUCCCCUGGCUCCUGGGAGGCAGCUCAGGAGCCUACGCAGCUGAAUGAAAUACUGAAGCAACAGGGACAGGAUCUCAGGGCUGCUGCUCCUAAGGAACAGGUGCCUUGAUACUGUGGGGGCUCAGCAUCCAGAACGGUGCCGAGCGGAGAAUGGCCCAGGAAGAUAUGCAUGGCAAACUUGUGUUUGUACCUCUGUUUGUCCAAGGACCAACCAAGAGGAGAUGAGAACUUGAUCCUGGGAUAUGACACACAUCUGCACACUGGCUUAUCACACAGAGGAGCAAAGCCUUCCAGGGAUCAUCUCGAAAGGACACUUGAACUUGGACCUGAUGUGAAGAUUUUAAGAAAUAGUGAAAUCAUCAAACCCCAAAUUGGACAGCUUCCUUUGCCCAUCUUUUUAAACGCAGCAAAAACGGAGGAGAUGCCUCAUUUUUACCAUAAGGAAAGACGAGGCAAAAGGGCAACACCUGGCACUCCCCUCUCAGUGUCCUUGGCAGACAUCAACAAUCAACCACAGCAUCAUUCUCGGGAUCACUCACAGCACAGAACUCCAGAUAGCUACUUACUGCCGUCUGCUCAGUUCCGUGCAUGGCUACAAACCUGUGACCAAUGUUAGCAGAAGUAAAGAUAAACCUGUAGAACUGGA